rnacentral:tmRNA from 1 species
GGGGGUGCACCGGCUUCGACUGGUGCGGUUCGGGGUAUGGGCUGCAGAUGGAGUGCCGAGCUCCUGAUUCGGCAAAAAUUUAACUGCCAACUACGACAGUUACGAAUACGCUCUCGCAGCGUAAUCGCGUGGAACCGUUCCGCCGCCUUGAGGAACGGCUUCCGCGUCGCAAGCAAGGCUGGUUGAACUCCGGUUCCGGACGGGGCGAGACGAGAUUUUCCCGGAAUACCGACGGGCCGCGCGCCGCAUAGCCAAGUCCGCCGGGAAUAACAAUAUGCGGCUAUAUCUGUAGAGGCCCCUAUUUCGCGUAUCAGGACGCGGGUUCAACUCCCGCCACCUCCAGAA